rnacentral:rRNA from 1 species
UGGUGGGUUGCCUUGUCAGGUUGAUUCCGGUAACGAACGAGACCUCAGCCUGCUAACUAGUCACGCGUGCUCCGGCACGCGGCGGACUUCUUAGAGGGACUAUUGGCGAUUAGCCAGUGGAAGCAUGAGACAAUAACA